GACGAACGCUGGCGGCGUGCCUAAUACAUGCAAGUCGAACGCGCAGCGAAAGGUGCUUGCACCUUUCAAGCGAGUGGCGAACGGGUGAGUAACACGUGGAUAACCUGCCUCAAGGCUGGGGAUAACAUUUGGAAACAGAUGCUAAUACCGAAUAAAACUUAGUAUCGCAUGAUACAAAGUUAAAAGGCGCUACGGCGUCACCUAGAGAUGGAUCCGCGGUGCAUUAGUUAGUUGGUGGGGUAAAGGCUUACCAAGACGAUGAUGAAUAGCCGAGUUGAGAGAUUAAUCGGCCACAUUGGGACUGAGACACGGCCCAAACUCCUACGGGAGGCUGCAGUAGGGAAUCUUCCACAAUGGGCGCAAGCCUGAUGGAGCAACGCCGCGUGUGUGAUGAAGGCUUUCGGGUCGUAAAGCACUGUUAUAUGGGAAGAAAUGCUAAAAUAGGGAAUGAUUUUAGUUUGACGGUACCAUACCAGAAAGGGACGGCUAAAUACGUGCCAGCAGCCGCCGUAA
rnacentral:rRNA from 1 species